UUGGAGGGCAAGUCUGGUGCCAGCAGCCGCGGUAAUUCCAGCUCCAAUGGCGUAUAUUAAAGUUGUUGCAGUUAAGGAGCUCGUAGUUGAAUUUCGAGACCGGCUUACUGGUCGUGCUUUUGUGCGUACUGGUAUAAUCGGUUUCUCCUUUCUGACGAACUUUAAUGCCAUUAAUUUGGUGUUAUAGGGAAUCAGGACUGUUACUUUGAAAAAAUUAGAGUGUUUAAAGCAGGC
rnacentral:rRNA from 1 species